GACGAACGCUGGCGGCGUGCCUAAUACAUGCAAGUCGAGCGCAGGAAUUCAUCCGAACCCUUCGGGGGGACGUUGACGGAAUGAGCGGCGGCCGGGUGAGUAACACGUAAAGAACCUGCCCUCAGUUCUGGGAUAACCACGAGAAAUCGGAGCUAAUACCGAAUGGGUCAUCGGACUGCAUGGUCCGAGUAUGAAAGGCGCUCCGGCGUGGCCUGGGGCUGGCUUUGCGGUGCAUUAGCUAGUUGGUGUGGUAAUGGCCCACCAAGGCGACGAUGCAUAGCCGACCUGAGAGGGUGAUCGGCCACACUGGGACUGAGACACGGCCCAGACUCCUACGGGAGGCAGCAGUAGGGAAUCUUCCACAAUGGACGAAAGUCUGAUGGAGCAACGCCGCGUGAACGAUGAAGGCCCUCGGGUCGUAAAGUUCUGUUGUAAGGGAAGAACAAGUGCCGAAGGCAAUGGCGGCACCUUGACGGUACCUUGCGAGAAAGCCACGGCUAACUACGUG
rnacentral:rRNA from 1 species